UGAUGAAGGCCUUCGGGUUGUAAAGCUCUUUCGGCCGGGACGAUAAUGACGGUGACCCGUAGAAGAGGCCCCGGCUAACUUCGUGCCAGCAGCCGCGGUAAUACUUCGGGGGCUAGCGUUGCUCGGAAUUACUGGGCGUAAAGUUCGCGUAGAUUGCUUGGUAAGUCGGGGGUGAAAGCCCGGGGCUCAACUCGGGAACUGCCUCCCAGACUGAACCUCUUGAUUCCGGUAGAAGUGGGUGGAAUUGCGGGUGUAGAGGUGAAAUUCGUAUUUAUUGGGAAGAACACCAUUGGCGAAAGCGGGUCACUGGCCCGGUACUGACGCUGAGUUCCGAAAGCUUGGGGAGCAAACAGGAUUAAAUACCCUGGUAGUCCACGCCGUAAAUAAUCCGUGCUAGCC
rnacentral:rRNA from 1 species